rnacentral:lncRNA from 1 species
CGGGUUCCCACCGCCUGAAGGGCGAGACAAGCCCGACCUGCUACAGGCACUCGUGGGGGUGUGGAAACAGGAAGAGAACUAGAACUGGAAGUAAAGCAUUGAAGAUGUGACUGAAUUGCUGCAAUCUCAUGAUCAAAUUUGAAUGGAUGAGGAGUUGCUUUUUAGGGAUGAGCAAAGAAAGUGGUUUCUCGAGAUGGAAUCUACUGGUUGCUCCUUGAGGGCAGGACAGUUCUUAUGGCUUUAUCCGUUGCGUAAGCACAGAGAGGUCUGCGAGGUCAAAACUAUUGUCAUGAUAGCAAGAUGCCUGUCUUUUUCAUUUAUUCUCACGGUGUGCAGAGGCUACAUGAUGUGUGAUGACAUCCUCAUUGAUGUUAAUGAAUGGUGCUAUACUUGAAUUUUCUAAGGUGUCAUUAGAUGAGGUCUUGCUGUGUUGCCCAGGCUAUUCACAGCUGCCAUCAUAGUGAACUACAGCCUGAAACUCCUGGGUUCAAGAGAUCCUUCUGCCUCAGCCUCCUGAGUAGCUGGAACUAUAGGCAUGCGCCACCAAGCCUGGGCUUUUAAAAAAAUUUUAAAAAGAAUUUUGAGACAGGAUCUUGCCAUGUUGCUCAGGCUAGUCUUCAACUCCUAGCCCUGAGUGAUCUUGCUUUGGGCCUCUCAAAAUGUUGAGUUAAUAGGCGUGAGCCACCAUACCCAGCCAAAAAUUUUUUUAGAGAUGGGAAUGGAAUGAUCUUGAAUAGUGUUGGUGCCACCUAUGUUGUGGCAUCAUUUUGAAACCAAUCAUUCAGAGUGCUUUUUUUGGUAAGGCAUUAUUUUUUAAUGCAGGUAUGCCACUACUGGGAAAAAAAAAAAAA